rnacentral:rRNA from 1 species
UCCGUAGGGUGAACCUGCGGAGGGAUCAUUACACAAAUAUGAAGGCGGGCUGGAACCUCUCGGGGUUACAGCCUUGCUGAAUUAUUCACCCUUGUCUUUUGCGUACUUCUUGUUUCCUUGGUGGGUUCGCCCACCACUAGGACAAACAUAAACCUUUUGUAAUUGCAAUCAGCGUCAGUAACAAAUUAAUAAUUACAACUUUCAACAACGGAUCUCUUGGUUCUGGCAUCGAUGAAGAACGCAGCGAAAUGCGAUAAGUAGUGUGAAUUGCAGAAUUCAGUGAAUCAUCGAAUCUUUGAACGCACAUUGCGCCCUUUGGUAUUCCAAAGGGCAUGCCUGUUCGAGCGUCAUUUGUACCCUCAAGCUUUGCUUGGUGUUGGGCGUCUUGUCUCUAGCUUUGCUGGAGACUCGCCUUAAAGUAAUUGGCAGCCGGCCUACUGGUUUCGGAGCGCAGCACAAGUCGCACUCUCUAUCAGCAAAGGUCUAGCAUCCAUUAAGCCUUUUUUCAACUUUGACCUCGAUCAGUAG